rnacentral:rRNA from 1 species
ACCCCCGGGUAUUGCCUUAGUAGCGGCGAGUGAGCGGCAAAAGCUCAAAUUUGAAAUCUGGCUCUUUCAGAGUCCGAGAAGWAAUUUGAAGAAGGUAUCUUUGGGUCUGGCUCUUGUCUWUKUUUCUUGGAACAGAACGUCACAGAGGGUGAGAAUCCCGUGCGAUGAGAUGAUCCAGGCCUAUGUAAAGUUCCUUCGAARAGUCGAGUUGUUUGGGAAUGCAGCUCUAAGUGGGUGGUAAAUUCCAUCUAAAGCUAAAUAUUGGCGAGAGACCGAUAGCGAACAAGUACAGUGAUGGAAAGAUGAAAAGAACUUUGAAAAGAGAGUGAAAAAGUACGUGAAAUUGUUGAAAGGGAAGGGCUUGAGAUCAGACUUGGUAUUUUGUAUGUUACUUCUUCGGGGGUGGCCUCUACAGUUUAUCGGGCCAGCAUCAGUUUGGGCGGUAGGAGAAUUGCGUUGGAAUGUGGCACGGCYUCGGUUGUGUGUUAUAGCCUUCGUCGAUACUGCCAGCCUAGACUGAGGACUGCGGUUUAUACCUAGGAUGUUGGCAUAAUGAUCUUAAGUCGCCCGUCUUGAAACACGGACC